UUAAGCGACUAAGCGUACACGGUGGAUGCCCUGGCAGUCAGAGGCGAUGAAGGACGUGCUAAUCUGCGAAAAGCGUCGGUAAGGUGAUAUGAACCGUUAUAACCGGCGAUGUCCGAAUGGGGAAACCCAGUGCAAUUCGUUGCACUAUCGUUAACUGAAUACAUAGGUUAACGAGGCGAACCGGGGGAACUGAAACAUCUAAGUACCCCGAGGAAAAGAAAUCAACCGAGAUUCCCCCAGUAGCGGCGAGCGAACGGGGAGCAGCCCAGAGUCUGAAUCAGCUUGUGUGUUAGUGGAACGGUCUGGAAAGUCCGACGGUACAGGGUGAUAGUCCCGUACACCAAAAUGCACAGGUUGUGAACUCGAAGAGUAGGGCGGGACACGUGGUAUCCUGUCUGAAUAUGGGGGGACCAUCCUCCAAGGCUAAAUACUCCUGACUGACCGAUAGUGAACCAGUACCGUGAGGGAAAGGCGAAAAGAACCCCGGCGAGGGGAGUGAAAAAGAACCUGAAACCGUGUACGUACAAGCAGUGGGAGCACCUUCGGGUGUGACUGCGUACCUUUUGUAUAAUGGGUCAGCGACUUAUAUUCUGUAGCAAGGUUAACCGUAUAGGGGAGCCGCAGGGAAACCGAGUCUUAACUGGGCGUUAAGUUGCAGGGUAUAGACCCGAAACCCGGUGAUCUAGCCAUGGGCAGGUUGAAGGUUGGGUAACACUAACUGGAGGACCGAACCGACUAAUGUUGAAAAAUUAGCGGAUGACUUGUGGCUGGGGGUGAAAGGCCAAUCAAACCGGGAGAUAGCUGGUUCUCCCCGAAAGCUAUUUAGGUAGCGCCUCGUGAACUCAUCUUCGGGGGUAGAGCACUGUUUCGGCUAGGGGGUCAUCCCGACUUACCAACCCGAUGCAAACUACGAAUACCGAAGAAUGUUAUCACGGGAGACACACGGCGGGUGCUAACGUCCGUCGUGAAGAGGGAAACAACCCAGACCGCCAGCUAAGGUCCCAAAGUCAUGGUUAAGUGGGAAACGAUGUGGGAAGGCACAGACAGCCAGGAUGUUGGCUUAGAAGCAGCCAUCAUUUAAAGAAAGCGUAAUAGCUCACUGGUCGAGUCGGCCUGCGCGGAAGAUGUAACGGGGCUAAACCAUGCACCGAAGCUGCGGCAGCGACACUAUGUGUUGUUGGGUAGGGGAGCGUUCUGUAAGCCUGCGAAGGUGUGCUGUGAGGCAUGCUGGAGGUAUCAGAAGUGCGAAUGCUGACAUAAGUAACGAUAAAGCGGGUGAAAAGCCCGCUCGCCGGAAGACCAAGGGUUCCUGUCCAACGUUAAUCGGGGCAGGGUGAGUCGACCCCUAAGGCGAGGCCGAAAGGCGUAGUCGAUGGGAAACAGGUUAAUAUUCCUGUACUUGGUGUUACUGCGAAGGGGGGACGGAGAAGGCUAUGUUAGCCGGGCGACGGUUGUCCCGGUUUAAGCAUGUAGGCUGGUUAUCCAGGCAAAUCCGGAUAAUCAAGGCUGAGGUGUGAUGACGAGGCACUACGGUGCUGAAGUAACAAAUGCCCUGCUUCCAGGAAAAGCCUCUAAGCAUCAGGUAACAUUAAAUCGUACCCCAAACCGACACAGGUGGUCAGGUAGAGAAUACCAAGGCGCUUGAGAGAACUCGGGUGAAGGAACUAGGCAAAAUGGUGCCGUAACUUCGGGAGAAGGCACGCUGGUGUGUAGGUGAAGUCCCUGCGGAUGGAGCUGAGACCAGUCGAAGAUACCAGCUGGCUGCAACUGUUUAUUAAAAACACAGCACUGUGCAAACACGAAAGUGGACGUAUACGGUGUGACGCCUGCCCGGUGCCGGAAGGUUAAUUGAUGGGGUUAUCCGUAAGGAGAAGCUCUUGAUCGAAGCCCCGGUAAACGGCGGCCGUAACUAUAACGGUCCUAAGGUAGCGAAAUUCCUUGUCGGGUAAGUUCCGACCUGCACGAAUGGCGUAAUGAUGGCCAGGCUGUCUCCACCCGAGACUCAGUGAAAUUGAACUCGCUGUGAAGAUGCAGUGUACCCGCGGCAAGACGGAAAGACCCCGUGAACCUUUACUAUAGCUUGACACUGAACAUUGAGCCUUGAUGUGUAGGAUAGGUGGGAGGCUUUGAAGCGUGGACGCCAGUCUGCGUGGAGCCAACCUUGAAAUACCACCCUUUAAUGUUUGAUGUUCUAACGUUGGCCCCUGACCGGGGUUGCGGACAGUGUCUGGUGGGUAGUUUGACUGGGGCGGUCUCCUCCCAAAGCGUAACGGAGGAGCACGAAGGUUAGCUAAUCCUGGUCGGACAUCAGGAGGUUAGUGCAAUGGCAUAAGCUAGCUUGACUGCGAGCGUGACGGCGCGAGCAGGUGCGAAAGCAGGUCAUAGUGAUCCGGUGGUUCUGAAUGGAAGGGCCAUCGCUCAACGGAUAAAAGGUACUCCGGGGAUAACAGGCUGAUACCGCCCAAGAGUUCAUAUCGACGGCGGUGUUUGGCACCUCGAUGUCGGCUCAUCACAUCCUGGGGCUGAAGUAGGUCCCAAGGGUAUGGCUGUUCGCCAUUUAAAGUGGUACGCGAGCUGGGUUUAGAACGUCGUGAGACAGUUCGGUCCCUAUCUGCCGUGGGCGCUGGAGAAUUGAGGGGGGCUGCUCCUAGUACGAGAGGACCGGAGUGGACGCAUCACUGGUGUUCGGGUUGUCAUGCCAAUGGCACUGCCCGGUAGCUAAAUGCGGAAGAGAUAAGUGCUGAAAGCAUCUAAGCACGAAACUUGCCCCGAGAUGAGUUCUCCCUGAGACU
rnacentral:rRNA from 1 species